UCCACAAGCAACACCGAUUGUCCCUAACGUAAGUGGUAAAGAGUUUGAUGGUUGGUACCCGAGGUUCCGAGUUCGAAUCCUAGUUGAUUCACAUUUUCAGCUAAGUUUAUUUCUAAAUGAAAUAAGCGAAGCGGGUUUACCCUUGAUUAGAUGUAAUUAAAAAUAGGAAUAAUUGCCUAUAUACUCCUCAAGAUUUCGAAAAUAUCUAAUUUACCUCUAGUCUUUUUUUUUUUUUUGUUUUGAAUAUACCUCUUAUAUAUUUCUCCGUUAUUCAAAAAUACCACCCGUUAAGUUAUCUUGAAUUAAACGUAAGNUUUUUUGUUUUGAAUAUACCUCUUAUAUAUUUCUCCGUUAUUCAAAAAUACCACCCGUUAAGUUAUCUUGAAUUAAACGUAAGUUAAAUAUUUACCAGAAUUUUUUUUAAAAAAUCAAAAUACUUCUUUUGUCCUUAACUUAAAGGCAAAUAAGAAAAAUUGAUUAUGGUAAAAGAGUAUAUUUGAAAAAGCAAAAAAUCAAAAUAUAUUUUUUGCCUCUAACUUAAUUAAGAGCAAAUAAAAAAGUUGGUGACAGAAGAAGGGUAUAUUUGAAAAGGUAAAAUAGUAAUUUCACAGAAAUAACAACUGUUCCUAACAGUGUACUAACAACAUUUAACUCUAGAGAGUAUAUUUGAAAUAAUUUGGAACGUUAAAAGGGUAUUUUUAAAAUUAGCCUUCUAAGAGGAGUAAAUCAGAAAGUCGUAAACUUUCUAGGAGUAUAUAAACAACUGUCCCAUAAAAAUACAAUGUAAUCGAAAAUGCAGCAGUUACAACUAUAUAUAUCUCGUUUGCUUGAAAAUAAUAGAAAGUAUUCGAAUUAUAGAUAAUUUGUCUGGUUGCUUGCAGUUGAGAAGUGCAUUUUUUUAAAAUUUUAGCAAUUUAUAUUUGCAAUGGUGAGAUUAUUUAUAAUAUAAAAAGACAUUUCUUUUGUUUGAAAAAUGAUUAUAAAG
rnacentral:lncRNA from 1 species